rnacentral:piRNA from 1 species
UCCAGAUAACCUGAUUUGCAUCUUCUCC